UACGUAGGGUGCGAGCGUUAAUCGGAAUUACUGGGCGUAAAGUGUGCGCAGGUGGCCGCGCAAGUCGAGUGUGAAAGCCCCGGGCUUAACUUGGGAAUUGCGCUCGAAACUACGUGGCUCGAGUGUGGCAGAGGAAGGUGGAAUUCCACGUGUAGCGGUGAAAUGCGUAGAGAUGUGGAGGAACACCGACGGCGAAGGCAGCCUUCUGGGCCAACACUGACACUCAUGCACGAAAGCGUGGGGAGCAAACAGG
rnacentral:rRNA from 1 species